rnacentral:rRNA from 1 species
GGUUCUUCCCCUUUGGGGUCGGUAUACAGGUGGUGCAUGGUUGUCGUCAGCUCGUGUCGUGAGAUGUUGGGUUAAGUCCCGCAACGAGCGCAACCCUCGUUCCAUGUUGCCAGCACGUGAUGGUGGGGACUCAUGGGAGACUGCCGGGGUCAACUCGGAGGAAGGUGGGGAUGACGUCAAAUCAUCAUGCCCCUUAUGUCUUGGGCUUCACGCAUGCUACAAUGGCCGGUACAAAGGGUUGCGAUACUGUGAGGUGGAGCUAAUCCCAAAAAGCCGGUCUCAGUUCGGAUUGAGGUCUGCAACUCGACCUCAUGAAGUCGGAGUCGCUAGUAAUCGCAGAUCAGCAACGCUGCGGUGAAUACGUUCCCGGGCCUUGUACACACCGCCCGUCAAGUCACGAAAGUCGGUAACACCCGAAGCCGGUGGCCCAACCCUUGUGGAGGGAGCCGUCGAAGGUGGGACUGGCGAUUG